rnacentral:rRNA from 1 species
CAGACGAUGCGUCAUGCAUAUCAAUAAGCGGAGGAAAAGAAACUAACAAGGAUUCCCCUAGUAACGGCGAGUGAAGCGGGAAGAGCUCAAAUUUGAAAUCUUAAAGGGUUUCCCUUUACGAAUUGUAGUUUAAAGAAGUGUUUUCUGUUGAGGUUUCGGUAAAAGUUCUUUGGAAUAGGACAUCAUAGAGGGUGAGAAUCCCGUAUUUGACCUUUACUUUCAACUUUGUGAUACACUUUCAAAGAGUCGGAUUGUUUGGGAAUGCAGUCCAAAAUGGGUGGUAAAUUUCAUCUAAAGCUAAAUAUUGGCGAGAGACCGAUAGCGAACAAGUACCGUGAGGGAAAGAUGAAAAGAACUUUGAAAAGAGAGUUAAACAGUACGUGAAAUUGUCAAAAGGGAAGCGUUUGACACCAGUGUUGUUUUUCUGAAAAUCAAUUAAAGAACUGUUUAUGCUAAGCUGUUUAGACUUUAUCAGCUAUCUGUUUAGUUUUGAGCUUUUCUUUAAUGCACUUUUCAGUUAACAAGUCAACAUCAAUUUCUUUUGCUGUAAAAAAGCUUGAGGAAGGUGGCUUGAGAUUCGUCUUAAGUGUUUAUAGCCUCUUGCCUAUGCAGUCGGAGAGAUUGAGGUCUGCAGCGUAGAUCCUUCGGGGCUAAAUGCAUUUGUGCUAAGUUAUAGCAUUUUAUAGACAACUUGUUGACUAUGAUUUGUCUUGUAGCUUACUCGCUUAUGUUAUUUUACCUACGCUUAGGAUGUUGAAGAUGUAGCACAUCAU